GAGUAGACUGGAGGCGUCAGUUCAGGUAAGUGGCAUGGAAAUGUCUACCGCGGAGGGUGAAAGUCCCGUCCAGCCUGGACAACGACGUUCUCGUACAGGUCUGCUUCAGUCGAGUCGGGUAGCUUGGGAAUGCUGCUCUAAUCGGUGGUAAAUCUCAUCGAAGGCUAAAUACUGGUGGGAGACUGAUAGAAAACAAGUACCGUGAGGGAAAGAUGAAAAGCACUUUGAAAAGAGAGUGAAAAGAACCUGAAACCAUUCUGUGGGAAGCGUAUUGCAUCACAAUGAGAGGCGUUUGCAUGUUCAACCUUUCGGGGUGCAUUCAUGUAAAGGCCUAUCUGUCGUGGGCUUGUGGGCAGUCGAUAUUUUUUUGGGCUGCUUCAGGCUGAGGGCUCCGCGCAAGCGUUGAGGACGGCAGAGGGACGAUGCGAUUCGACCCGUCUUGAAACACGGACCAAGGAGUCUAGCACAUCUGCGAGUCAAAGGGUGUUAAAACCCCAGGGCGCAGUGAAAGCAAUUUGUUCCAUAAAACGAGCAGUUUGAGGCGGCAUACGAUCGUUGAUUGUAAGUCUGACCUAGAGCAAAUGUGCUGGGACCCGAAAGAUGGUGAACUAUGCCGGAGUAGGGCGAAGCCAGAGGAAACUCUGGUGGAGGCUCGUAGCGGUGCUGACGUGCAAAUCGCUCGUCCAACUCGGGUAUAGGGGCGAAAGACUAAUCGAACCAUCUAGUAGCUG
rnacentral:rRNA from 1 species